AAUUUAACGUUUUCUGUUUGUUUGUUGCAAUUUAACAGUUUUUUAUUUGUUUGUUGCAAUUUAACAGUUAUUUAUUUAUUUUUGUUGCAGAUUUUCUUUUCUAAUACUAGGGCUUGAAGCUAGCGCCUUUCACACACUAAGCACGCUCCGUUGAAUUUUCACACACAUUAGGAAAGGGGAUAUGGCUGCAUCCUCCCGUAGUCUGUUUAUUAACAAUUUUUACCUUGAGUUUUUGCCAAUUUUUAUAAUAUUAUUUAUUUUUAUUCUUUGUGCAUUGGUGUUUUGCCUGCAUGUAUGCUUGUGUGACAGUGUCAGAUCAUGGAGUUACAGACAGUGAGCUGCCCUGUGAGUACUGUGAAUUGAACUCCAGUCCUCUGGAGGAGCAGUCAGUGCUCUAAACCUCUGAGCCAUUUCCUCAGCCCUGUUGUUUUGUCUUUUGAGAUAGGGUUUCCCCUGUGUAGCCAUGGAUGUCCUGGAACUCAUUCUGUAGACCAAGCUGGCCUCAAACUUAGAGAUCUGCCUGCUUCAGCCUCCCAAGUGCUGUGAUUAAAGGCAAGUGCCACCACUGCCCUGCUAGUUUUGCCAAAUUUUUAUUAGAAGAUUUAAAUUUAUACGAUGAGAACUAAUGAAAGCCUAAAGGGACCUCAAGAUCAAAAUCAAGUGAAAUUCAAUGGAAAUAAUCAAGAGCAUAGAAACAUGUAGAAACAGUGCAUGGGGUAUUUCCAGUAUUAAGAAGGGGAGGAAACAACAUCUGGAAACACACAGAACGUAAAUGGGAAUUUAAAAUCUCCCAUAAAUGCCCAGGUUACUUUUAAAUUUUGAGACAGUUUGACUAAACUGCCCAGGCUGGCCUUGAACUCAUUUUGUAGCCCCAGUUUUGAACUUGGUAUCCUCCUGCCUUGGCCAUAUAGCUGGGUCACAAGCUUGGUUCCCAGUUGACUUUCUGGUGCAUUUCUUUGGGCCUUGCAGAACCUUGGUCUUCUGACUUGACUUUCUUCCAUUGAUUGAUUGAUUGAUUGAUUGAUUGGAUUAGAUUGUUGAUGCAGACAAGCAUUAAAGAUCCUCCACAUGGGCACCAAAAUGCAGACCUUUUGAACGCAAUCAUAAAAACUCAGAGUCACUGAUUAUGUCACAUUAAGGAAGGAACAAAAUCAAAGCACUUCUCUUUGGUUUCAUUUAACCAACAGCAAGUCUAGAUUUGAAUUCUCCUCCUCAUGCUUGUACGUCUUUUGUCCUCUGUUUCUCUGUUGUUGAGGCUGAAUCUGUUUUCUGCCUGAAGGCUGUCCUGUGAACGUGGCCCUGUGUGUUUGGCCCUAACAAUGGGGUUUGAUCUGUAUUUAUUGAACAGCAGAGGAGGGUAUCCCAUGGGGAAGGAAGGGGGAGGAACUCAGUAGAAAUCUUUAGCAGCUUUUACAAGAGAUUAAGUCGCCAGCACCAACUGGCUCUGAUAACAAACAGCAAACAAACAAUAUCAGAAUGCUGUGUUCAACAUUUCCAGUGAAUGCUCAUUUAAUAGGACUGCUUUAAAUCUCUCUUUCUUCAUGUUUUCAGCAAAUGAUUACUAGAGCACACAUACAUGACACUGGGUCACGGCACCAAGGAGCACAUAACAGAAGCUGACAGCCAUGGCUUGGUUUAGAUUGUGAAAGCUGGUUACAUGGGAAACCUAAGACAAGUAAAGUCCAUUGUUACAUUGUUGCCUUAAAGGCAGGUUAAACAAAGGGACUGAUUACACCUUAGUCUUGAAUGACCUCAGUGUCUAUAUUAACUUCAGUUGAGAAGCCCAGCAAAGCUUCCAGUCUGUUAGAAUAUAAGGUAAUUUUAUCACAACACAUUUCCACACUCCAAUCUCUUGCCUAUGUGCAAUUGGAUUCUAAUGUUUCCAUCAACUGUUUUAAAUCUAUGUGUAGUAAGAAGUAACCCUUGGAAUGUUCCUGCCAGCCCGUUCUUCAGUUCAGUGCUUAGUCUCGUUUUGUGUUUUGUUAUUGUGGGUGUUCUGCAUGUGAGGCGAGGCUGCACCACUGAGCUGUGUCUCCUCUGGCAAUGCUUGCUUUUAGAUUUUGAGACAGUUUGACAAAACUGCUCAGGCUGGCUUUGAAAUCACUUUGUAGCCUCUGUUUUGAACUUGGGAUCUUCCUGCCUUGGCCCGUAUAGCUAGGUCACAAGUCUGGAGUAUUUUCUCUUACACAGAUGUUUCUGAUUUACAUUGGCCAAACCUGAAUUUUGUAUCUUCAGAUGAGCGCUGUGCACGUGUAGAAACCAGUUAGGUGGGGUUGGGGAUUUAGCUCAGUGGUAGAGCGCUUGCCUAGGAAUCGCAAGGCCCUGGGUUCGGUCCCCAGCUCCGAAAAAAAAGAACCAAAAAAAAAAAAAAAAAAAGAAACCAGUUAGGUUAAAUGACAACAAACCCACCGCAAUAGGCCGUUUAGAAACGACACAGAAGAUAGCUACCCAUCUCCCUCCCUGGGUUUGACUGUUCCUGAGCACCUUUGGCAUCUUCUGGGCCAAACCCUGGGAUUUAUUACAGUGGUCAGACUUGUCAGGCAUCAAGACACACUGUUAUUACAGAUAAACAGGGCGUGUAUGCUGUAUGAAUGUUUGGUGCUCUCCUGAAGGGGCCAGAGUAAGGCUUCCACACCUGCUGCCUCUGCGCGGGGUCUCUAGCUAAAUUGGAGGCUUCCUGUUUAGACUGAGCUGGCUGGCCAGGGUCUGGAGCUUCGAUUGAGUCCCUCCUUCAAAGAUGGGGUUACAGGCACAUUGGAUGUGGAGACUAAACUCAGAAACUCAGAUCCUCACACUUGCAUAGAAAACGCUUUAUCCACUGAGCCACAUCUCUCCAGCCCCCAGAAACUGUUAGAAAGUAUAAUUACGUCUCCCACAUAACAAAGGCCAUACAACACCAAGAAAGUAUCGGCCGUUCAUGUGAACUCAGUAUUGACUUGGCACCCUGUGUUUUUAUUUUGGACAACCUGGCACUCCUGAUCCGGCUGUUUUAGUUGGUGCUGGGGAAGGUGGAAGUGAAGAUGUUUUUAGGUCUCAUACAGUGCAAAGCCGGUUUUGCAGAGAUUUCCCCAGCUCUAACAAUGUCUGCUAAAAGCCCUUCACUGGCCUAGUCGUCUUCCUGUAGCAGGGCACACACACGCCCCCACCCCAGACCCAUUCCUUUGGGGACCGGAAGAAUCCAGAAGCCUGAGGUUCUAAUGGGACCCUGGGUGAUGAUUCUGCUCCGGUAAAUGUACAGAGCGCCGGCCAAUCCCCUGUCCCGGCAGCCGGGAGCAACAUCUCAGGCCAAGGCGUUCACCCCCGCGGCCUCCGACCGGCGCAGCCCGCAGCCCUCGCGAGUCCUUCCCGGGCCGGGGCUCCGCGCGGCGGGGUGCAGGGACGCCUUCUUCCCUGCGCACUCAGCUCUGCACGCUGCGAUUCAGAAACUCUCCACACUACACUGGGAAGCAGAGUCUCCAGCUAUGCUGUCCCGUUGGGAACUGACUCUCUGCCUGCUUGUUUCCUUGGGCUUCCACUUCCGCUCUUUCUAUGAAGUUUACAAAGUCUCCAGGGAGCAUGAAGAGGAACUGGACCAGGAGUUUGAACUGGAGAUGGAUACUCUAUUUGGAGGACUGAAGAAGGACCCGACUGAUUUUGAGUGGAACUUCUGGCUGGAGUGGGGGAAGCAGAGGCUGGUGUGGCUCCUCCUUGGCCAUAUGGCUGUGUCUCAGUUGGCCACACUGCUCACAAAGAAGCAUAGACCCUGGAUUAUCAUGAUCUAUGGAAUGUGGGCCUGCUGGUGUGUGCUGGGGGCUCCGGGCGUGGUCAUGGUCCUUCUCCACACCACCAUCGCCUUCUGCGUGGCUCAGUUCCGAUCAAUGCUCCUCUCCUGGCUGUGUUCUCUGCUUCUACUCUCCACCCUAAGACUGCAAAGUGUGGAGGAAGUUAAGAGAAGGUGGUACAAGACAGAGAGCGAGUACUACCUGCUGCAGUUCACGCUCACAGUUCGCUGCCUGUACUACACCAGCUUCAGCCUGGAGCUGUGCCGGCAGCCUCCGUCCGCCCAGCGUGCCUGCUUUUCCUUCCCGUGGCUGCUGACCUAUGUCUUCUAUUAUCCUGUCUUCCACAACGGGCCCAUCCUUAACUUCCCGGAGUUCUUCAGACAGAUGCAGCAGCCAGAGCUCAGCUCUCUGCAGCACAGCCUCUGCAUUCUAGCCAAGGGCCUGGGCCGCCUGCUGUGCUGGUGGUGGCUGGCUGAAUUGAUGGUACACCUCAUGUACAUGCAUGCCCUCUACAGCAGCAUCCCCCUCCUGGAGAGUGUUUCCUGCUGGACCUUAGGAGGACUGGCGCUGGCUCAGGUGCUCUUCUUCUAUGUGAAGUACUUGGUGCUCUUCGGUGCCCCGGCUCUGCUCAUGCGCCUGGACGGACUCACACCACCACCCCUUCCCCGCUGCGUGAGCACCAUGUUCAGCUUCACAGGGAUGUGGAGGUAUUUUGAUGUUGGACUACACAAUUUCUUAAUCAGAUGAGGGACAAAGAGAAACUGAUCACAAAGAACUAAGGCCUGUGGGCUUUUAAAGCCACAGAGGACGGCAUGCUCUGGCACUUUGGACUCUCACAGCUUUGGGCAUUACUCACUCGGGGAAGUAUCUAAGGAUUCCACGCAGUGGGACAGAAGAUAAGAGACUGUGGUCCUGCACUCCUGUAUGUGUAUAUCCCACUGGGUGGGUCCCAGCAUGGCCUGCUGGGGACGCUGCUUUCUACCGCGAUGACGUUUGCGUUUGUGAGCUACUGGCACGGCAGCUAUGAGGACCUCUGGUGCUGGGCAGCGCUCAACUGGCUG